rnacentral:rRNA from 1 species
AGUGAACGCUGGCGGUAGGCCUAACACAUGCAAGCCGAACGGCAGCACAGUAAGAGCUUGCUCUUACGGGUGGCGAGUGGCGGACGGGUGAGGAAUACAUCGGAAUCUACUUUUUCGUGGGGGAUAACGUAGGGAAACUUACGCUAAUACCGCAUACGACCUACGGGUGAAAGCAGGGGAUCUUCGGACCUUGCGCGAUUGAAUGAGCCGAUGUCGGAUUAGCUAGUUGGCGGGGUAAAGGCCCACCAAGGCGACGAUCCGUAGCUGGUCUGAGAGGAUGAUCAGCCACACUGGAACUGGGAAAACGUCCAGGAUUCUAAGGGAGGGAGGCGUUGGGAAUAUUGGACAAAGGGGGGAAGCCUGAUCCAGGCAUUCCGCGUGGGUGAAGGAGGCCUUCGGGUUGUAAAACCCUUUUUUUUGGGAAAAAAAGCAGGCAGUUAAUACCCCGCUGUUCUGACGGUACCCAAAGAAUAAGCACCGGCUAACUUCGUG